AUACACGGCACAAAGUGGAUGCCUUGACUCGAAUAUCCGAUGAAGGACGCGCAAGACUGCGAUAAGCCUGGGUAAGUUGUCACGAAACGUUACAGCCCAGGAUUUCCGAAUGGGGGAACCCUAUCCAUCAAGAUGGAUAACCUGAUUAGGAGGACACCAGCCGAAUUGAAAUAUCUUAGUAAGCUGGGAAAAGAAAUCAACCGAGAUUCCGAAAGUAGUGACGAGCGAAAUUGGAACAGCCCAAACCUGUACGGUGCCAAGGAUGAGCCCGUUGCCGUACGGGGGUUACACGACAUAUCACCGCAAAGCUCAUAUAGCGAUACUGAUAUAUAAUUACAGAAAAAUUACCUGGAAAGGUAGGCCAAAGAGGGUAAUAGCCCCGUAUUCGAAAUAAUCUAUAUAUUCGGUACGAUAUGCUCGUAAGUAGUAUCGGACACGUGAAAUCCGGUAUGAAGUUAGGUCGACCACGAUCUAAGGCUAAAGAGUAUUCGAGAUCGAUAGUGAACAAGUACUGUGAAGGAAAGGUAAAAAGAACCCCGGGAGGGGAGUGAAAUAGAUCCUGAAACUUUGUGCUUACAAAGAGUCGGAGCGCUUCGGCGUGACGGCGUGCCUUUUGGAGAAGGAACCAACGACUUACGUAUACGUGGCAAGGUUAAGACAGAUAUAGUCGGAGCCGAAGGGAAACCAAGUCUGAAUAGGGCGAUUUUAGUCACGUAUAGUAAACCCGAAACCCGUGUGAGCUAUUCAUGGCCAGGCUGAAGGUGGGGUAACACCUACUGGAGGGCCGAACCAAUUGGAGCUGCAAGUCCACUGGAUGAGCUGUGAAUAGGAGUGAAAAGCUAAUCGAACCGGGAGAUAGCUGGCUCUCCGCGAAAUAUAUUUAGGUAUAGCGUAUAAUAGUAACCAAGAGGGGUAGGGCUCUGAUAAGACUAGCGGGUUUAUUCCAACUUAGCAAAUCUUGAUAAACUUCGAAUACUCUUGGCGGAAUAUUAUACAGUCGGACAGUGACGGAUAAGCGCCAUUGUCAAAAGGGAAACAGCCCAGAUUCCUAUCUAAGGUCCCCAAGUUAUAACUCAGUGGAAAAGGAUGUGCGAUUACUAAGACAGCCAGGAUGUUGGCUUAGAAGCAGCCACUCAUUCAAAGAGUGCGUAAUAGCUCACUGGUCGAGUGAUUGUGCGCCGAAAAUUCAGCGGGGCUUAAGUUAUACACCGAAGAUGGAAGAUUUAUACAUUAGUAUGGAUCGGUAGCGGAGCGUUCUGUAAGCCUGUGAAGCAGUUGGGUAACCACCUGUGGAGGUAUCAGAAGUGCAAAUGUUGGUAUGAGUAACGUAAUGGAGGUGAAAACCCUCCACACCGAAUACCCAAGGUUUCCUGUCCUACGUCAGUCGUGGCAGGGUUAGUCGGUCCUAAGGUGCACCCGAAAGGGGCAAGCCGAUGGAUAUCUGGUUAAUAUUCCAGAACUAUAUACAAGAGGUUAUUACCUAUGUGGGGACGCAUCGCGAAUAUCGGACACUCUCAUGGAUAUGAGUGAAGAGUAAUGCUUUUGGUUGUGUAGGCAAAUCCGCACAACAAUACAAGAGGGUUAUGAUUCCUUACCCAAUACUUCUUCGGAAGGGAUAAGUAAGGUCCUGUGAUAUGAAGGUGCCAAGAAAAGCCACUCUGGGACGAAUGUAUAUAACCGUACCGUAAUCGAACACUCGUGGGUGGAUGUGAGUACAUUAAGGUGGACGGGAUAACUGAGCUUAAGGAACUCUGCAAAACAGCGGUCGUAACUUCGGGAUAAGACCUGCCUCCUCAGCAUUUAUCUGAGAGGCCGCAGCUAACGAGUCCAGGCGACUGUUUACCAAAAACACAGCUCCGUGCUAAAUCGCAAGAUGAUGUAUACGGGGUGAUGCCUGUCCGGUGCCAGAAGAUCACGGGGAGGGGUGCAAGCUCUGAACCUAAGUCCUGGUGAACGACGGCCGUAACUAUAACGGUCCUAAGGUAGCGAAAUUCCUUGUCGGGUAAGUUCCGACCCGCACGAACGGCAUAACGGUCUGGACACUGUCUCAAGCUCAGGCCCGGUGAAAUUACAAUAUCGGUAAAAAUGCCGAUUACUCGCAGCAAGACGGAAAGACCCUAUGAAGCUUUACUCUAGUUUGGCAUUGAGUCGUACGUAUAUUUGUGCAGGAUAGGUGGGAGACGCUGAAGGUGGAACGCUAGUUCUACUGGAGUCAUCCUUGAGAUAC
rnacentral:rRNA from 1 species